rnacentral:misc_RNA from 1 species
GGAGAAGGGGAAGUUUGCUGUUGUUUUAAUACAUGGAUUUGGUGGAGGAGUAUUCUCGUGGAGGCUGAUGAUGGGUGUACUUGCGCGACAGAUUGGUUGCACUGUUGUGGCCUUUGAUCGACCAGGCUGGGGAUUAACAUCUCGUCCAUGUAGGAAGGAUUGGGAAGAGAAGCAUUUGCCGAACCCUUACAAGCUAGAAUCACAGGUUGACCUUCUUAUUUCUUUCUGCAUGGAGAUGGGCUUUUCUUCUGUGGUUCUUGUUGGUCAUGACGACGGUGGCAUCCUUGCUUUGAAGGCGGCCGAGAAAAUACGUGCCUCAGAAUCUCCACAUGUGGCAAUCAAGGGGGUGGUGCUUCUCGGUGUUAGCUUAUCAAG